CUUCCCGGAAGUGCCCUGCUGGUGCUGGGAGUAGGGCGCAAGAUGUCGGCGGAUGCAGCUCCGAGGAGGUAGGCAGUGGGAGCCGGCGUUCAGUCCGGCCCGUGCCAACAGUGGUUCCUCUCUCCCCCGUAGUUCGAGGAGACCACGCGCUGCCCCUCUGGCACGAUCGUGGAUGAACCCCCUGGCAACUGAAAUGGGAAAGGCAGCGCCCCCGACUCUGGGGACUGGACCGAAGUCCACGGUAGUGACAGCUGCCAGACCCUGAGGAGAGGACGAGAAGACCCGAGGCCUCUGCUACGAACACUGGCAGCCGAUGGAAAAUUCAGACGGAUUUGGGACAGUAUGCAGAGUUCUCCAAGCGACAGAUUAACAGAGGCUCUUGAAGAAUAACUGCGUAAUCACGUGUUCUGCUCAAAAGAAGGCCUGAAUGCCCAGUGCCUUAUUUGGCUUUCAGGGUUGGUGAAAGAAAAAGCAAAGUAGAUGCUUUCUAAUGCUAAGUCAUUUAAUGUAGCACCAUUCCUUGAACUUCUUUCAUCUCUAAGGUCGUCCCUUUCACCUGAUGAUGACCUUUGGGCCAUCGUACAGGCAUGUGUAAACUUGGAGAUCUUCCUCAACAUUGCACCAUAUCUUGGGUUCAUUCAAGGCAGAGUCUCCUUGCAAAAGCAUUCUAAAACAAUGUAAAGUCGAAGAGAGUAGAGCAAUACCUCCAUAGUUGGAAAAUGUGGAGGAGGCCAAUUAAGGGACAGAAAAAGAAGUGCAGAGAAUCUUGGAAUUGUUGCAAAAUUAUUCUGGAGAUAUUUCUAAGUCUCCUCUAUCCUUUUCCUUAGUGAUUAAUACAGGUUUUUAUAUUAAGUGGACAGUAAAAUCCAAACAGAAAGAGGUAUAUGUCGUAUAAUGAAGCCUAUGUUCAAAGUAUAUCUGAAAUUUGUUUUUAUAAUGUCUUUCUUGAGAGCUUAUAAAGAUGUCAGUAUUCUGUGGGAAACAAAUUGGCACAUGCAUAAAAGAGAAAAAAUGAAAAAAA
ensembl:lncRNA TMEM44-AS1 TMEM44 antisense RNA 1